rnacentral:rRNA from 1 species
GGGUUGUGAGGUUAAGCGACUAAGCGUACACGGUGGAUGCCCUGGCAGUCAGAGGCGAUGAAGGACGUGCUAAUCUGCGAAAAGCGUCGGUAAGGUGAUAUGAACCGUUAUAACCGGCGAUGUCCGAAUGGGGAAACCCAGUGUGAUUCGUCACACUAUCGUUAACUGAAUACAUAGGUUAACGAGGCGAACCGGGGGAACUGAAACAUCUAAGUACCCCGAGGAAAAGAAAUCAACCGAGAUUCCCCCAGUAGCGGCGAGCGAACGGGGAGCAGCCCAGAGUCUGAAUCAGCUUGUGUGUUAGUGGAACGGUCUGGAAAGUCCGACGGUACAGGGUGAUAGUCCCGUACACCAAAAUGCACAGGUUGUGAACUCGAAGAGUAGGGCGGGACACGUGGUAUCCUGUCUGAAUAUGGGGGGACCAUCCUCCAAGGCUAAAUACUCCUGACUGACCGAUAGUGAACCAGUACCGUGAGGGAAAGGCGAAAAGAACCCCGGCGAGGGGAGUGAAAAAGAACCUGAAACCGUGUACGUACAAGCAGUGGGAGCACCUUCGGGUGUGACUGCGUACCUUUUGUAUAAUGGGUCAGCGACUUAUAUUCUGUAGCAAGGUUAACCGUAUAGGGGAGCCGCAGGGAAACCGAGUCUUAACUGGGCGUUAAGUUGCAGGGUAUAGACCCGAAACCCGGUGAUCUAGCCAUGGGCAGGUUGAAGGUUGGGUAACACUAACUGGAGGACCGAACCGACUAAUGUUGAAAAAUUAGCGGAUGACUUGUGGCUGGGGGUGAAAGGCCAAUCAAACCGGGAGAUAGCUGGUUCUCCCCGAAAGCUAUUUAGGUAGCGCCUCGUGAAUUCAUCUUCGGGGGUAGAGCACUGUUUCGGCUAGGGGGUCAUCCCGACUUACCAACCCGAUGCAAACUACGAAUACCGAAGAAUGUUAUCACGGGAGACACACGGCGGGUGCUAACGUCCGUCGUGAAGAGGGAAACAACCCAGACCGCCAGCUAAGGUCCCAAAGUCAUGGUUAAGUGGGAAACGAUGUGGGAAGGCACAGACAGCCAGGAUGUUGGCUUAGAAGCAGCCAUCAUUUAAAGAAAGCGUAAUAGCUCACUGGUCGAGUCGGCCUGCGCGGAAGAUGUAACGGGGCUAAACCAUGCACCGAAGCUGCGGCAGCGACACUAUGUGUUGUUGGGUAGGGGAGCGUUCUGUAAGCCUGCGAAGGUGUGCUGUGAGGCAUGCUGGAGGUAUCAGAAGUGCGAAUGCUGACAUAAGUAACGAUAAAGCGGGUGAAAAGCCCGCUCGCCGGAAGACCAAGGGUUCCUGUCCAACGUUAAUCGGGGCAGGGUGAGUCGACCCCUAAGGCGAGGCCGAAAGGCGUAGUCGAUGGGAAACAGGUUAAUAUUCCUGUACUUGGUGUUACUGCGAAGGGGGGACGGAGAAGGCUAUGUUAGCCGGGCGACGGUUGUCCCGGUUUAAGCAUGUAGGCUGGUUAUCCAGGCAAAUCCGGAUAAUCAAGGCUGAGGUGUGAUGACGAGGCACUACGGUGCUGAAGUAACAAAUGCCCUGCUUCCAGGAAAAGCCUCUAAGCAUCAGGUAACAUUAAAUCGUACCCCAAACCGACACAGGUGGUCAGGUAGAGAAUACCAAGGCGCUUGAGAGAACUCGGGUGAAGGAACUAGGCAAAAUGGUGCCGUAACUUCGGGAGAAGGCACGCUGGUGUGUAGGUGAAGUCCCUGCGGAUGGAGCUGAGACCAGUCGAAGAUACCAGCUGGCUGCAACUGUUUAUUAAAAACACAGCACUGUGCAAACACGAAAGUGGACGUAUACGGUGUGACGCCUGCCCGGUGCCGGAAGGUUAAUUGAUGGGGUUAUCCGUAAGGAGAAGCUCUUGAUCGAAGCCCCGGUAAACGGCGGCCGUAACUAUAACGGUCCUAAGGUAGCGAAAUUCCUUGUCGGGUAAGUUCCGACCUGCACGAAUGGCGUAAUGAUGGCCAGGCUGUCUCCACCCGAGACUCAGUGAAAUUGAACUCGCUGUGAAGAUGCAGUGUACCCGCGGCAAGACGGAAAGACCCCGUGAACCUUUACUAUAGCUUGACACUGAACAUUGAGCCUUGAUGUGUAGGAUAGGUGGGAGGCUUUGAAGCGUGGACGCCAGUCUGCGUGGAGCCAACCUUGAAAUACCACCCUUUAAUGUUUGAUGUUCUAACGUUGGCCCCUGACCGGGGUUGCGGACAGUGUCUGGUGGGUAGUUUGACUGGGGCGGUCUCCUCCCAAAGCGUAACGGAGGAGCACGAAGGUUAGCUAAUCCUGGUCGGACAUCAGGAGGUUAGUGCAAUGGCAUAAGCUAGCUUGACUGCGAGCGUGACGGCGCGAGCAGGUGCGAAAGCAGGUCAUAGUGAUCCGGUGGUUCUGAAUGGAAGGGCCAUCGCUCAACGGAUAAAAGGUACUCCGGGGAUAACAGGCUGAUACCGCCCAAGAGUUCAUAUCGACGGCGGUGUUUGGCACCUCGAUGUCGGCUCAUCACAUCCUGGGGCUGAAGUAGGUCCCAAGGGUAUGGCUGUUCGCCAUUUAAAGUGGUACGCGAGCUGGGUUUAGAACGUCGUGAGACAGUUCGGUCCCUAUCUGCCGUGGGCGCUGGAGAAUUGAGGGGGGCUGCUCCUAGUACGAGAGGACCGGAGUGGACGCAUCACUGGUGUUCGGGUUGUCAUGCCAAUGGCACUGCCCGGUAGCUAAAUGCGGAAGAGAUAAGUGCUGAAAGCAUCUAAGCACGAAACUUGCCCCGAGAUGAGUUCUCCCUGAGACUUUAAGUCUCCUGAAGGAACGUUAAAGACGAUGACGUUGAUAGGCCGGGUGUGUAAGCGCAGCGAUGCGUUGAGCUAACCGGUACUAAUGAACCGUGAGGCUUAACCUUACAACGCCGAAG